ensembl:lncRNA
GAGUAAGCAGGCAGGGACCUAUGAUUCUAUAUGCUGAUUUAAUGCCCAUGAAAAAAUCAUACACUUCUCAGAUGUUAAUAAUACACCAAAAAAUAUUGAUGGUAGACAUUUUAAACACUUGAACUAGCAUAUGUUUGAAAUUGUGUUGAUUAAUAUCUGUCCAAUUGCCUUAUUAAAAUAUACAACAAUAGGAUUUCCUGUUGUGGCACAGUGGUUAACGAAUCCGACUAAGAAUCACGAGGUUGCGGGUUUGAUCCCUGGCCUUGCUCAGUAGGUUAAGGAUCCAGCAUUGCCGUGAGCUGUGGUGUAGGUUGCAGACGUGGCUCGGAUCCCACGUUGCUGUGUCUCUGGUGUAGGCCGGUGGCUACAGCUCUGAUUCAACCCCUAGCCUGGGAACCUCCAUAUGCCGUGGGAGUGGCCCAAGAAAUGGCAAAAAGAAAAAAAAUAAAAUAAAAUAUACAACAAUAGACUUUAUAAAUCAUGUCAGUAAGUUGUUUAUAUAUUUUGCUAGAGUACUCCUGAUUUUAUUUUCAUGUACUCAACCGGAGGAGAAGCCUCUGAGAUGAGGGGAGGGUGGGCAGAGAGUUCUAAGGAGACAAAGGCUAGUAACACCCCUUGUCCCAACUACGUGUGAACAAAGGCACAGCCUCACUCCCAGGAAGGCCGGUGUUACCAGAUCUAGAAUGUGCUGCUUGAGGCCAUGGGGCCAAGUGUGGACAUGCCUCCCUCGGGCCUCAGUCUUGGAGUCAUGAUUGGCCCCUUUCCCUCUUGCCUGUUACCAUUCCAGCUUUUAUUUUGUUUUUUUAACAUAUUUAAAAAUAGUUGAUUUACAUUUGUGCCAGUUUGCUGCUGUACAGCAAAGUGGCCCAGUCAUAAUAUACGUACAUUCUUUUUCAGAUAAUAUCUUCCAUCAUGUUCUAUCCCAAGAGACUGGAUAUAGUUCACUAUGCUAGACAGUAGGACUUCAUUGCUUAUCCAUUCUAGUGGUUUGCAUCUGCUAAUACUAAACUUCCAGUCCAUCCCACUCCCUUCCUUCCCCCUCUUCUACCCAGCAACCACAAGUCUGUUCUCCAUGUCUGAGUCUGUUUCUGUUUCUGUUUUGUAGAUAGGUUCAUUUGUGCCAUAUUUUAGAAUCCACAUGUAAGUGAUAUCAUAUGGUAUUUCUCUUUCUGAUUUGCUUCACUUAGUAUGAGAAUCUCUAGUUGCAUCCAUGUUGCCACGUAUGCUAUUAUUUCUUUCUUUUUUUAAUGGCUGAGUAGUAUUCUCUUGUAUAUAUGUACCACACCUUCCUAAUCCAUUCAUCUUUUGAUGGACAUAUUUCCAUGUCCUGGCUAUUGUGAAUAGGGCUUCAGUGAACAUUGGGGUGCAUAUAAUCUUUUUGAAUUACCGUUUUCUUGGGAUAUAUGCCCAGGAGGGGAUUGCUGGAUCGUAUUGUAGUUCUAUUUUAGUUUUCUGAGAAACCUCCAUAGUGUUUUCCAUAGUAGUUUUACCAAUUUACAUUCCCACCAACAGUGUAGGAGGGUACCCUUUUCCAUAUCCUCUCCAACAUUUGUUAUUUGUAGACUUAUUAAUGAUGGCUAUUCUGACUGGUGUGAGGUGGUACCUCAUUGCAGUUUUGAUUUCCAUUUCUCUAAUAAUUAGUGAUAUUGAGCAUCUUCUCAUGUGCCUACUGGCCAUCUGUAUGUCUUCUUUGGAGAAUUGUCUAUUUAUGUCUUCUGCCCAGCCUGUUACUAUUAAUAAUAGUUAGCCUAGAACCUGAGGAGCUUUGUAAACCAGAACAGGAGUCCUGUGUGCAGGUAGUGGCCAUUGAGUUUUAGUUUUCCUACUUUCACACCUUUGCCUGCUCAGCUUAAUGGAUUAAAAAUCUGUGCUGCCAAGUGUCUAGUCUCCUUAGCAUAACUUGACAUAAGCUGAUUCUGAGGCUGACAAUCCCUGUUGUGAAGGUCAGAAGGUUUGCUACAGAAAAUAAAUCCAGAAAAAGCAGCAGCCCACCGAUCUUGGGUCCUGUGCCCCACCCUCCCUGUGGUUUCACAGACUUGAGACAAACAUCUCCCAAUUUUAUUUCAUAUUUUGUUUGAAAGGAAUCUUCAUUGUAUCUGAGAAUAUAAGGACUUUCUUUCUCUUGGGCUUUGGAACAAGGCCAAGGCCUGCCCCGAGGUGUUUGUGUUACCAUCUGGGGG